UAUGGUGUGUGCCAGCCGCCGCGGUAAUACGUAGGGGGCAAGCGUUAUCCGGAUUUACUGGGUGUAAAGGGAGCGUAGACGGAUGGACAAGUCUGAUGUGAAAGGCUGGGGCUCAACCCCGGGACUGCAUUGGAAACUGCCCGUCUUGAGUGCCGGAGAGGUAAGCGGAAUUCCUAGUGUAGCGGUGAAAUGCGUAGAUAUUAGGAGGAACACCAGUGGCGAAGGCGGCUUACUGGACGGUAACUGACGUUGAGGCUCGAAAGCGUGGGGAGCAAACAGG
rnacentral:rRNA from 1 species